CUGUUACUUUCUUCGUUCCAUAAUUAUUGUCUUAAAUUUGACCAAAAAUGGAUGUAUCUAUUUCUAAAAAAUGUCUAGAUACAUGUAAUAUUUCGACAAGAAUUAUGGAACGGAGGGAGUAAGUA
rfam:Brachypodium distachyon strain Bd21 chromosome 2, whole genome shotgun sequence.